rnacentral:lncRNA from 1 species
UCAGAAAGUCGUACGCACCGCAAGCUUUGAACGUCUGUUUAUCGCACCCUCGAAAGCGGCGGCACAGAAGGCGCGAUGUGAGCUCCGGUGGGAACAGCAGCCCUUUGUCUCGUAACGGUGCCGUCCAGACUGGCCAUGAGACCAGCGAAUUUGCUGUA